UAUUGCUCGUUAGGUUUCCGAUGGCUGGCUUAUAUUACCGUCCUUAGUGAUAUAACAUUAAGGUGUGGGGGCUAAACUGAUAACAUACAUGUUGUGGGUGGAUUUGAUUUGUUGGAAAAAUCAACUUUUUCUUUCUGUACAUUUUUUGUUUUUUUCUAACAACUGUAUAUCGUCGUCUCACCAAUCACCAACUGCAUAAUUUGUAUGAUGAGCCUGUUUCCGCGUUUAUACGGUAGUGUGUCGACUAGGCGUAACUUUGGAGAGGAACCGGCCCUGGAAGAUCACCGUGGGGUGCUGUAAUCGGUUAAAGAAAAAAUAAUACAAAAAAAUAAAAAUAAAUAAGUAAAUAUAGACAGAGACAGUUCAAUUUCUGCAGCACGUUUGACUGGCAAAGCACGACUUCUCUCAGUUUCCAGACGAGCUGUGGGAACACGAACAGGAAUAUUGCUGCCAAAGUAAUGUUACAGUAAAUCAUGUUUACAAAAUACAACAAGUGUGCCAUGGAGCCAAUGAAAGAAUAUCGUCGUGUGAUUUGUAUGUUGAAGUCUGUGUAUUCAGAGGUACAGGGAAUCGAAUCUUUUCUUGAGACGAUCGGGUGGAGAGAGACCAGGGAAGGGAAAGUCCCUGGCUUAAUUUCGAGCAGUGACAGUGUGAAAUAUAAGAGAUUUAUUUCUGAAAUCAUUGUCUGUACCACACAAGACGUGAAACUGUUAUCGCAGCCUGUCAACUUUCAACAGUUGUCAAGCCAGAGGGAAGUGGUGGCCAGAGUCAUACAGAAGCUUUGUGAAAAAGGGAAGAAGAAUGUCCUGUCUUCUGGUUAUGCCUGUAUUUCUGAGAACAGUUCUCAGUUUGUCAAGUUUGCUCCCAACAUUUGCAUCUUCCAACUCAAUCAAACUACCUUCACCAUCGGUGCUAGUCCCCUUUGGGAGACCUUGCUAAGCAGGAUUGGUGACGACGUAAUGAUGCAUUUGUUGCAACGCUGUGCGCUGUUCAUGCUUGCACCCCCAAGCAGUUGCUAUCAGAUAUGUGGAGUUCCUGUCUACAAUUUAGUGUCCUCGGGUGUUGUUUUUUCAUUCAGAUGCACCCAGCAGAAGUCACUAAAUGCCAAAUUCAAUGUCUUAUCAAAGUUUGUAAAAUUACAACGUAGCUUUUAUAAAAGAUACCAACAGAAGGUUUAUCAGUGGAAACAAAGAUCAGCAGUUGGACGGCAAUCUCAUUACAAUCUACGAAGUUCAGCAUCCCUUCAGCGGAAAUGGACUAACAAAAUCAUGAAGGCCAGCCAACAGAAGAAAAGGCGUCUUGGUAAAGGUGUUGUUCCUCCCGCCAAAAGGGUUAGAUCAGAUUCUUGCAAUAUCAGCCUUCUGGUAGAUAAUCGAAAAGGUGCAAAAUCCUGCCAGCCAAGCAUUCACCCCAAGAAAGAAAAGAAGAAAGUGCCCUUUAAGGCCCCCUCAGUCAACUUCUCUUCUGUUUAUAUUGAAAGAAGACAUAUGUUUUAUUCAAGCCAGGUUUUAAAGAAAAGCUUUUAUAAUUCCUUUGGGAUGAGCUGGCAAAAGGACUUCAAAGUUGACGAGAAGAGACUGAUUGAGACUAUCUUCUUGCAGAGAGGUUUGUUUGGAGGAAAUGAUGCCAAAAGGAGGCCUGACAACUACUGGAGGAAAAGGAUGCUGCCGAAACGCUAUCACCAAAUGAGGAAAGUGUUUAAGCAGCUUGUGAAACGACAUGGAACAUGUCGGUAUAUUGAACUGUUGAAGAAGUAUUGCCCUUGCCCUUUUAAUCCUGCCAAAACCCAAGAAUCAAGUCACCAGGGAAGUACAUUAGAAAAACUGCUACAGCAGCACAGCCAUCCCUGGAAAGUGUACAUGUUUGUGAGGGAAUGCUUACAUUAUGUGGUACCACAAGAACUGUGGGGCUCGAACCACAACAAAUGCAGAUUCCUGACAAAUGUGAAGAAGUUCAUCUUUUUGGGAAAGUUUUGCAGGUUUUCUCUUUCAGACUUGAUGUGGAACAUGAGACUCAACCACUGUGACUGGCUGGAAAUCAAAAAUGAGAAAAAGAAGAGAAUUCAUUUUUAUUCAGAGGAGCAUAGGCUUCGUGAAGUGAUCCUGGCUAAGUUCUUGUACUGGUUGAUGGGCACCUAUGUGGUGCAGCUACUUAAGUCCUUCUUCUACAUCACAGAGGCUGUGAAAGGGAAGAACACUCUGCACUUCUACAGACAGUAUGUCUGGGAACUUCUGCAAGAUAUUGGAGUCAGAAAACACCUAGAAAAAACACAGCUGCAACCCUUAACCACAGAGGAGAUUGCGGAAAUGCAGAGACAGAACAAAGACCUGAUGAUCUCCACACUCCGGCUCAUUCCCAAACGCAAUGGGUUGAGACCCAUUGUGAAAGUGGGGAAAACGAUGGGAAUGCACAAACAGAUUCAGCAAACCAACGAGAAGAAGCUGAAGCUCCUGUGCGCAGUUCUGAAUUAUGAAUGGAAAAGAAAUCCUUCUUUAAUAGGGUCAUCCGUGUUUGGAAUGGAUGGCGUCUAUAAAGUGUUGAAGCAGUUUGCACAGGAAAGGAAGAAACACAUGCAAGACCUACCUCACUACUACUUUGUGAAGGCUGACGUUACCGGGGCCUUUGACACCCUUCCACAUGAUAAACUGCUAGAUGUGGUUUCAGGUAUAAUACAUCCUGAUAUCGAAGAGAGCUACUGUAUCCGCCACUAUGCUGAGAUCUGGAGUGACCCUGUCCGGCAGAUAAGGAAGUCAUUUAAGACCGAUGCUUAUACAAUGAUGGAUCUACUACCAAACAUGAAAAUGUUUGCCUCUCAAUUGCAAAAGGAGAAAUCUUUGCGAAGUGCAAUACUCGUAGAACAGGGCAUGUCCAUAAAUGAACCUUCUAAAAAACUGCUUGCUUUCUUCAAACAAAUGCUGAAGAGUAAUGUCAUCAAGAUUGAAAACAAGACCUACCUGCAGCGCUGCGGGAUUCCUCAGGGCUGCAUUGUGUCCACCCUGCUAUGCUGCUUGUGCUAUGGAGACAUGGAGAACAAACUCUUAAGUGGAGUGCAACAAGAUGGAGUGUUGCUGAGAUGGGUGGAUGAUUUCUUGCUCAUUACUCCUCACUUGUCAAAUGCAAAACAGUUCCUCAGAACACUUGCAGCCGGCAUUCCUGAGUAUGGGUGCAUUAUAAGCCCUCAUAAAACAGCUGUCAACUUCCCUGUUGAUGACAUCCCAGGUUGUGCCGAGGCCAAACAGUUACCUGGGGUCUGCAUGUUUCCAUGGUGUGGACUUCUGCUGGACACUCGCACAGCUGAAGUGUUCUGUGACUAUGGCAGUUUUUCCGGCACCUCCAUUAGAUCAAGUUUGACGCUUGGUUCCUCUCCCUGUGUUGGAAAAAAGAUGAGGAAUAAACUGCUGGCAAUUCUUCGACUAAAAGCCCAUGCCAUUUUUCUUGAUCUGGAGCUCAAUAGUCAAAAGACAGUUUGCAUAAAUAUCUACAAGAUCUUCCUUCUUCAAGCUUACAGGUUCUAUGCUUGUGUCCUCAACCUGCCAUUUGGACAGAGGGUCAGAAACAACCCUUGUUUUUUUCUUUCUGUGAUCUCACAAAUGGCCACCAGUUUCUACUCCACCUUAAAAAUCAAGAACAAAGUCAUCAAUGGUUUUAACCCUGGCUUCUACAGCACACCUGAAGGCGCCCUAUUGACAUAUCCCAAUCUAUUUUCUACUAGAAUCCCCAUCCUCACUCCGAUGGAACUAGUUUGCCUCUCUUUCAUGGCCCUGCUGGGACUCGACUUGGUGCCAAGGAUGCCUCUGGAAUUGUACCCUUUGAAGCAGUCCAGUGGCUCUGCUACAGAGCCUUCAUAGUUAAGUUGUCCAGACACAAAUGUACCUCUAAGUGUCUGAGUGGACCUUUGAAAACAAGCAACAAGAAGCUACAGAGGAAACUCCCAAAAGAGAUGUUUGAGCUGCUGAAACAGAUCACUGAUCCUGCUCUACCUCCAGAUAUUGCUCGAAUCAGAGAUUAACUGCGAACUGCUACAUUAGGCAGUCAAGCUGCAAAGGAAGGUGUAAAAUGGAGUCCAGGCUUGGGUCACACUGAAAUUAGUGUGGUGCUCUCUUUGUAGUCAUUCGUGCAUUACAGUUGUUCAAAACCAUCAUUCAUGGUCACAACUAUGUCUAAAAAGGCAAACUAAAAAUGUUUCAGGUCAGAAACAUCAAGGUAUAUUGGUGAAGAAAUAAAAAAAAAAUAGUCUCUGUGUUCUUUCUAAUAGGCGCAAUAUGUAUUGUUAUUGUUGCCGAAUUUACAUUUGUUCAUAUUGCUUAGCUGUAGUAGUCUGGCACCAGUUUGUUACUGCCACUAUGUUUAAAACAAUGUUAUGAUUACACAUUUGAAAGGGGCUUGAAUUGUAAAAAUAAAUAUGUUGCAUGUGGUUUAUUUCUCACACUGGACAUGCUACAUCUGUAUAUUUGAUUUACUUUAUAGUUACUGUAUUUUGUACCUUGUUGUAGAAUUGUGUUUGUUGUUGUUAUUAUUUAACAAAGGCCUGUAUAAUGUAUUUUUGCUUGUUGAAUGAGGCUGACUUUAAACAGCCUGCUUAAAAUGUACCGUGCUGAGAAGCACUUGUGAUACGCAAUGUGUUUUCCAAUAAAGCUACUACAUUGUUUCCUUGGUUA